GGCGCCUCCUACAGGCCGACUGACUCAUAGCAGCCAGCUACAGACAAAGACAUCUAUCAUGAUUUAAGACUUAAAGCAAAUGUUCUGAUGCUUCUUGGGGGAAUAUCCAAACUAGAACAAAAUCAGAGGAAUAUCAGUGGUGAGAAUUAGAUUAGUAAAUAAAGUUUAAUUCAGGUUGCUUCUUCUCCCCUGCCCUAUAUUCUUACAGCCUCCCUUCUCUGCUGGCAAGCUCUCAAACUCACACACAUACACACACUAACUAGUCUAUGUAAUAAAGAGCCCACUGGCAUUUAUUGACUUUUCAGUGUCUCUGUCUCGCUCGUCUCAUAGUGGCUCUCCUGUUCUUCUCUCUCUGUAGCUAACAGGCUUUGGGGUUCCUGGUGCUAAAGACAGAGGAGUUGGACCGUACAGUUAUUCUCAGUGUUGGAGUGAGGCCCUCUCUGUGCUGCAGUGGAGGGCUUCACAGACACAGCUAGUCUGGUGAGUAGGAGCUCUCUUGUUCACUUUAAUGAUAUACAGUACAUACUGCUGUUGUAUACCCUUUAAAAAGUAGUUUAUAGAAAUAUAUGUGCCAAAUAACUUAUCUCUUAUUCUCUCCUGAUUAUGAGUCUCAGCUACAUCAUAUUUCCUAUUUGUCAAGAUAUUUAAUAAGAUAAAGGCAACUUUCUCAGUUGUAGUGAUGUGUUAUUAUGCCGUGAGUAAACUACAUGUCUAACAUCCACAGGCUGGAUGCAUCACGCAGUAGAGCAGUUUGGCGGGCGUGGCACACGGGAUUCCUUCCCUCUGGACGGACUCAACCGGGGACCAUGGGCUCCCGUGGGCGGCCGCGCCUGGCAGCCACCUGCCAGGUGUUCGCCUGGAAUGAACCAACACCAGCUCCUUUCCCAUCUACCUCCUGGUCCUAUGGGCGGACUGAACCAUCAGAGUAAAUUCUUUAGUAAUGGGCCCAUGCGUGGAGGUGAGAAGCUCGAGCUCCCACAACCAAUGUUACCAGGCCUGCAGAGGGAGCAGCAGAGACCUCCUCCUCAUCAUCUUCACCCUCCACCUCCACACAGAGCGUGGGAACAACUAGGUCAGCUGUAUGACUCCCACCUCCCUCCUCAAGGACAUUCUGUCGUGCCACUGCCCAAUGAGCACUCACUUCGUCUCCAUAAUGGAGGCUAUGCAGGCAGCGGCGGCCCUCCCCCCAACCCCCAUCUUCCCCCCAGCAGGCCAAACCAACUGCUGAAGGUGAGUGACAUUGCUACAGGUGAACAGUACAGAGUUGAACAGUUUUUCAUAGAUGAUUCAUGGUUUGUGUCUAAACAGAUUCUAAAAGAAUAUAACCACCAUCCAUUAUCGGGUGUUGUGGUUCGCCUCAAUGUGUUUCCAAACAAUCGCGGAG
rnacentral:lncRNA from 1 species